rnacentral:RNase_P_RNA from 1 species
CCGGCAAGCCAUCCUAUCGCUGCGGCCCGACCGGGGCCGGAGAGGAAAGUCCGGGCACCGCAGGGCAGUCUGCUUCCUAACGGGAAGGCGCGAAGCUGGCGACGGCUGCGUGACCGCCAGUGCCACAGAAAAUAACCGCCCGCCUCGGCGGGUAAGGGUGAAAAGGUGGGGUAAGAGCCCACCAGCGAGCCGGCAACGGUUUCGGCUGGGUAAACCGCAGGCGGUGAAAGCCCAAAUAGGCCGACAGGACCGGUAACGGUCAGCGGGCGGCCCGUCCGCGUCGGUGGGUAGGGCGAUGGGGCCUUUCGGCGACGUCUGGCCUAGAUAAAUGAUAGGACGGGGGGGUUCGGCCCGCCCGACAGAACCCGGCUUAUCGGCUUGUC